rnacentral:rRNA from 1 species
UACGAAGGGGGCUAGCGUUGCUCGGAAUCACUGGGCGUAAAGCGCACGUAGGCGGCUUUCUAAGUCAGGGGUGAAAUCCUGGAGCUCAACUCCAGAACUGCCUUUGAUACUGGAGAGCUUGAGUCCGGGAGAGGUGAGUGGAACUCCGAGUGUAGAGGUGAAAUUCGUAGAUAUUCGGAAGGAACACCAGUGGCGAAGGCGGCUCACUGGCCCGGUACUGACGCUGAUGUGCGAAAGCGUGGGGAGCAAACAGG